CGGCGGGUAGGGCCGGGGGGUUAGCCGUCCCCCAACUCCCGAAACCGGCUAUAUGCGGGGGCCAGAUAAGGCAGGUUAAAACCAGAACCUGAACAGGGUUAACGUAGGCUGAAGGGAUGAAAUGGCGCCGGCGUGGGCCACCUUGGCGCUAUCCUGAUCCGAAGGGAUCGGGUAAGCGCCAAUCGCCGAAACGGGUCAGGCCCGGGAGGGAGCAGCCCUAAGGCGAGAAAGGGGCGCCACGCCGUCACCGCCUAGACCGUAAGCCUGCGGACAUCCUGUUCAGGUUCUGGGGAUACCUGCCGGCCGCCG
rnacentral:SRP_RNA from 1 species